UGGAGCACAGACGUGAUUCAGACAGGUCCCCAGGCCUCCAGGAGAGCCAGUUUUUUUGUGGAAGACACUCCUGCCAGCAGUGACACCCCAACACAGCAAAGACCAGGACACAAGAGCACCGGACAUAAAGAGAGACCAGGCAAGAGCAACCCCUGGCUAUCUAACCAGGAGACCUGAAUUCCUAUCAUUUGACUUUGGGAAACCUCUUUGGGCUUCAACUCUAAGAUGAGGCCACAAAGACUGGUCUAAGAAUUUAAUAAGAUGCCAGCACCCAGCUGUGUGGCCCAAGAAGCCAUAAUUUAAGGCACCACCUCCUCUCCAACCCAUUCCCCUGUUGUUUCUGAAGAAGGGCUGGACCUGCGUCUUAAGAGAGCACAGCCUCUAUCCAGCCAGUUAUUCAAGGAGGUCUGGCUGGGCUCCAUUUCCCCUUAGGAUAAAAUGAACGCACCUGCUGUUCCCCACGCCAUGAGGAAUUUUCGUUAGAUGUCAAGAAUUUUCCAGCAGCAUGAAAUCAAGACUAGCAUACA